rnacentral:rRNA from 1 species
GAUGAACGCUGGCGGCGUGCCUAAUACAUGCAAGUCGAGCGAACGGACGAGAAGCUUGCUUCUCUGAUGUUAGCGGCGGACGGGUGAGUAACACGUGGAUAACCUACCUAUAAGACUGGGAUAACUUCGGGAAACCGGAGCUAAUACCGGAUAAUAUUUUGAACCGCAUGGUUCAAAAGUGAAAGACGGUCUUGCUGUCACUUAUAGAUGGAUCCGCGCUGCAUUAGCUAGUUGGUAAGGUAACGGCUUACCAAGGCAACGAUGCAUAGCCGACCUGAGAGGGUGGUCGGCCACACUGGAACUGAGACACGGUCCAGACUCCUACGGGAGGCAGCAGUAGGGAAUCUUCCGAAAUGGGCGAAAGCCUGACGGAGCAACGCCGCGUGAGUGAUGAAGGUCUUCGGAUCGUAAAACUCUGUUAUUAGGGAAGAACAUAUGUGUAAGUAACUGUGCACAUCUUGACGGUACCUAAUCAGAAAGCCACGGCUAACUACGUG